CCCUUAGAUGUUCUGGGCCGCACGCGCGCUACACUGAUGCAUUCAACGAGUCUAAAACCUGCUCUGAUAGGGGUGGGUAAUCUUUUGAAUGUGCAUCGUGAUUGGGAUAGAUGAUUGAAAUUUUUCAUCUUCAACGAGGAAUGCCUAGUAAACGCAAGUCAUCAGCUUGCAUUGAUUAUGUCCCUGCCCUUUGUACACACCGCCCGUCGCUCCUACUGAUUGGUAUAUAAGGUAAAAAUCUCGGAGAGGUUGGGAUUUCAUGCAGGUUUACUUGCAUGUGCCUGGCCUCAAAGUUAUUUAAAUCUUCUGUACUAGAGGAAGGAGAAGUCGUAACA
rnacentral:rRNA from 1 species